CGCACCCGUAGCUCAGCUGGAUAGAGCGUUGCCCUCCGAAGGCAGAUGUCAAGCUGUUUUGCGGGAGCGU
rnacentral:tRNA from 1 species